rnacentral:lncRNA from 9 species
CCCAGAGAUAAUACAGAAAACAGAACAGAUUAUUUCACUGGAUAACAUCAUUAAUUUUGAUGUCAGACAGACUUUGGAUAAAGUUCUGACUCUGAAAUAAGCAACUGCAGGGAACUCAGCAAGGAACGUAUGCUUGCUCUAACCUGUUUACUCCCCUGCACAAGUAUAGUAACUUAUCUGGAGCACUUCUAAAACAUGUAUCACGGAGUCUAGUACAGAGAAAAUACGCAAUGAAUGUCGAUGGUAAUUAUCGCAGUGGUGGUGAUGGUGAUGAUAAUGACAACGACGACGUUAUUAUGUCUUAAAAGGGGCUUUAGGAAAACAUUUUGUGGGAUUCUUAAGUUUAGUCAUGAGAAAUUUAAAACUCUUUAUCUACUUCACCAUUUGGCAAGAAGCAGUGAUGCCCCCUAUAUAUUUUACAGGAAAACACCUAGACAAUAAUGUUUUUCCUCUCUGAAAUGGCUAACUUAUUAUAUAUCACCUAGGUGAAGAAAUUUGGGGGACUGUUGUGUUUGUUUCUGUUUCAUAAGAAUUCUUAUAUUACUCUUUUUAUUUUUCAGAUCAACUUAAGGAAAAUGGUAAACAUUUAUGAUUCUUUACAAAAUAUGAUAUCCCUAUUAACCAUUUCAUAAGUCUUAUAGUACUCUUUUUAUUUUUCAGAUCAACUUAGGAAGGAAAAUGGUAAACUUUUAUGACUCUACAAAAUAUGAUCUCCCUAUUAACCGUUUCAUAAGAAGUCAUAUAUUACUCUUUAUUUUUCAGAUCUUCUUAGGAAGGAAAAUGGUAAACUUUUAUGACUCUACAAAAUAUGAUCUCCCUAUUAACCGUUUCAUAAGAAGUCUUAUAUUACUCUUUUUAUUUUUCAGAUCUUCUUAGGAAGGAAAAUGGUAAACUUUUAUGACUCUUUACAAAAUAUGAUCUCCCUAUUAACCGUUUCAUAAGAAGUCAUAUAUUACUCUUUUUAUUUUUCAGAUCAACUUAGGAAGGAAAAUGGUAAACUUUUAUGACUCUUUACAAAAUAUGAUCUCCCUAUUAACCGUUUCAUAAGAAGUCUUAUAUUACUUUUUUUAUUUUUCAGAUCAACUUGGGGAGGAAAAUGGUAAACUUUUAUGACUCUUUACAAAAUAUGAUCUCACUAUAACCGUUUCAUAAGAAGUCUUAUAAUACUCUUUUUGUUUUUCGGAUCAACUUAAGGAAAUAAAUGGUAAACUUUAAUGACCAUUUAUGUGAUUUUUCUAUAGCGAUUUUUCCUGCUUCCUUGCUUUUCCAUUCCUCCCUCUGUAUCAUUUUCUCUUUUGUGAUUUUUAUUCAUUCUUACUAUAUUACAUCUUCCAUUGCUUCUUUCUCUCUUUGUUCUUCUUCAUCAGUUAACUCACUUUUCCUACUGACCCUUCUCUUUAUCUAAUGCAUUAUUUUUCUUACUGUCUCCCUGAUGCUAACAAUAAUAACUCCUUCUCAUGGUGCUGAGAUGAAUGAAAUUCUAAUGCGAAAAGAUACUUGAAAGUGCUCUCAUAGUGCUUUUGUGUCCACAAGCUGAUUUUAAGAAAAAUUCAAAAGCUCUUCUAUGCAAGACACUUUUUAAGAAGUACAGUCGAUUGUUCCUUGUAGAGCACACCAUUGUUCUCUACCUUGAGAUUGAAGCCUCACCUGGCUGGACCAGGAGUGGAGAUUUAUGGCAUAGUGAUAUGGAGACUUUGCUUUGCAUUUUAACAGACCUGGGUUCAAAUCACUGAUCUGUUCAUUGACCAGCAGAAACUUCUCCAUGUUAUUGAUCCCUUUUAUUCUCAGAUCUUUCUUUUGUGAACAGAGAAGCACUAAUUUACAAUUAUUUUGCUAAUAUUAAUCAAGUAAUUACAUAAAGCCCUUAGCAAAUAUUUAAGUCAUUGGAAACACCAAAUGAAUUGUAGCUUCUUUUGCACAGAUGAUAUAGAGCAUGACAGCAUUGCAGAGGAUGAUAACCAUGAAUAUCAGCAUUCCAAAUUAGAUUAAAAACAAUACUUCACGGGGGAUUUGAUAAUUUCCCUCUUGAAUUUUAACUGUAAAAUUAUUUGUCUAUGUUAGCACGUAAUAUGUUUUCUUAUUUUCUUUCUUUUUUGGGGAAACAUGUGCUGGAGAAAACUGAGGAUUUUAAAAACCUUGAUGAGUUAAUUUAUGUCUUUGUAUAUAAUCCUUCCAAGCAAGUUUAAUUUUUCUUUUUUCUGUAACAUUAAAAUGGAGUUUUCACUUUUUCCCCCAGGAAUAUUGCAAAAGGAAAUUGGUAAUGGUAUUCUAAUAGUUAAAAUAUUCUCAAGAGGAUGUCCUCCUCUGAUGAUCCCCUGCUUCCUUUCAUUCUUUCCCCUUAGCUCUUCAUUUUAGGUAUCUUUUGCAUUUCCCCGUUGCCUCUGUAUAUUGCAGCUAUCAUGUUAGGAAUAAUUUUCUGCUUACCUUGAUUAAGUCCUGAAAAUCAUGUGACUCAACUUUAUUUUAUGCAUGAAAAACAAUUUCCAAAGGGAGCAAUGGCUUGACUAAUGAUAGUAAUGACUACGGUAAAUCCCUCAGAAGAAUGCCUGUCUUUUUUCUGCGUCAUCCUCUCUUUGAGAGUCCAUGUCUUAUGUGUGUAUCUCCUUUCAGAUGAGAGGAAAGCUCAAUUUAAGAAUGGCUGGCAGAAGUCAUCGUUGUAUCCUGGUGAGUAUGUUGCACUGAAGAUGAGUCUAAGAUAGACAGUUAAGCUCGUAAAUUCUAUAAAACAUUGGGCUACUAACUACCACAUGACAGAGAAAUACAUACAUACAUAUAUAUAUAUAUAUAUAUAGAGAGAGAGAGAGAGAGAGAGAAGUGUAUGUAUAUAUAUGUGCUUGCAACUUCUGGUCCAUAGAAAACAUAGCAAGAAAGAUAAUUUUUUAGUGUUUUUCUUUUCGCCUUUUCUCACCUGCCUCUCACAAGACAGAAGUUAAUUAAACCAGAUAUUAAGAAAUGAAAAAAGUAUAAUUUUCUCUUUUGUGAUUUUUAUUCAUUCUCACUAUAUUACAACUUCAGUUCCUUGCCUAACUCAAAAACAUAAAUUUUUUUCUCUAAUUUUUUCCACCGGUAUUGGAUUUUAUCAAAUGAUUUUUCUGUGCCUAUUGAGAUGAUUAUGCUAUGCUGUCCUUUAUUUUAUUAGUAUGGUUUAUUAUAUGAAUUGAUUUUUACAUGUUAAGCUGAUCUUGCAUUCUGGGAACUAAUCCCACUUGGCGGUGUGUGUAAUCAUUUUUGCAUGGCUGUUAUAUUAAAUUUACUAGUAUGUUAUUGAGAGUUUUGCAUCUGUAUUCGUGAAGGAUAUUUGUGAUGUCUUUGGUUUUAGUACCAGGGUGAUACUAGCCUCAGGAUGAUAAGGGAAAUAUUCUACCCACUUCUAUUUUCUAGAAGAUUUUGUUGAAGCUGGUAUUUUCUGUCCUUUAAAGGUUUGAUAAAACUCACCAGUAAAAUCAUCUGGGCCUGGGAAUGAAUUCGCAUAAAUUUUCAAUUCAAUUAUUUUACUUGUUAUAAGUCUUUCCAGAUUUUCUAUUUCUUAAGCCAUUUUUAGUAAUUUGCGUAUCUUGGAGAAUUUGUGUAGUUCGUCUAAGUUUAAUUUGUCAGCUAUGGAUUUUAAUAGAAGUUUCAUUUGAGCUUUCUAAAUUCUGUAGAUUCAAUAGUGAUCUCAUCAAUAUGUGGUUUCUCAUUCUUAUUGAGCAAUCUAGUAAAAUUUGCUGAUUUCCUAAAAAAGCAAAAUCUGUUUCAGUGAUUUUUUUCCUAAUAAAUUUUGUUUUCUUUCAUUGAUUUCUAACCUAAUCUUUAUUAUUUCAUUAUUUGAUUGCUCUAAGCUUCGUUCACUCUUCUCUUUUCAGUCUUUUCAUGGAGAAACUUAGGCUAUUGGUUUAAGAUAAUACUUUUUCUCUACUUUGGACAAUUCAAGCUCCAAAUUUCCCUGUAGGUAUUACUUUUAGCUGCAUCCAAUAAAGUUUGGUAGAUAGUGUUCUCAUUUUAAUUCAAUUCAAAAUAUUUUUAAAAUUUUCUUUUGAUUUUUUUAUCCACAGAUUGUUUAUAAAUAUAUCAAUAUCCAAAUAUUGCUAAAUAAGAAAUUUUCUUCUUUUUUGAUUCCUAAUUUAAUUUUAUUGUAACCAGAGAUCAUCUUUUUUACAGCUGUCUUUUUAUUAAUCGCUUUAAAUAUUUUUUCAUGAAUGAGCGUUUCUCAGUUUGAUGUGUGCCUUUGUCAAUUUCCACCAUUGCAAAGUGAUCAUUUUUUUAUAAUUUUUCCAGUUUUAAUUGUUGCUUUUGGGGAUAGGAUUUAGGCUUCUCAUUCAUUCCCUUCCAGUUAGUUUCAUGCAUCAAUAACUAUUUCCUAAGUAGAACUCUAGAUAUAUUUGUCUAGCGUUUUUCCCUAUAUGUCUUCUGUAUGGUUGCUCACUUGAAGCUACCCAGUAUAACUGUAAAAAUUCCAUCAUCUUGAUCUUUGCUUAUUCUUGACUUUCUUAAGUCAUUUUGUUCAAUAAAGAAAUUCCACUAGUGCCUUAUGCUAAAAUUGCACAUUUAAUUUCAUUUCUUAUUUUAGGUGACCUAUGAAAGCCAUUGUCAUACUUGUUCUAAAAAGGCCAAGAUUGUAAAUAUUUUAAAGUUUAUGGGCCAUAUGGUCUCUGUCACAAUUACUCAACUGUGCCUUUUUAGCACAAAAGCAACCAUAGACAAUGCAUAAAGAGAUAGCAUGGUUGUGUUACAAUAAAACUAUUUACACUGACAGAUGGGCUGGAUUUGUCUCCUGGACUAACACAGGAACUGACUCUGGAUCUAGAAAAAGUCACUUUUAGAACCCUGAAAAAUCCACCCAUUUCUGGAGUUUUUCAUUUAUUUUGAUUAUGUUUUAUAUUAAAUAUGUAUUUAAAAGACAAAUAGUUCUUAAAAUAAAUGGUAAUAACAGAUCCAGUGGAUACUCUCUUUUCAAGUUCAUUCCUAUAGAUCCUGUUUAGGGCACAAGAUAUAUUGUCUAAAUGAUUAUAGAAAAAAAGUUUUAGAACUGUUUUGUCUCUUCUUAUCAUGGCUGUCUCUAUAUGCAGUCAGGUUUAUCUGUUUCGUCACUCUUACCACCUAAGCAUUGAACUAAGACUGCACUUUUUAAUUGUUGGUUGCAGUUUUGCACUUUCAUUUAUUAUGGCACUAUCUGCAUUGAGCAGUGUAAUGAACUUUAAUUUUUAUAAAAAUCAACUCAUAUCUCUCUGGUUUAACCUCUUGCAUACAAAUUAAUAUGAGUGUAUCUAGGUCUGUGAUUCUCCUGGGCAACUCUAUUCAAAAUAGUAGCUCUGAGAACUAGUUUUUUUCCAGUCUUCUGUCUUCUCCAUUUCUAGGGCCUUAUAAUUCUGGCAUUGGGUGGGAAAGUGUUAGAAUGGGAAUGAAAAAAAAAUCAAGUGAACUACUUUAUUGUCCAACCUAGAAAUGAUAUGGUUGCCUGCUGAGCACAUUGUAAUGACCAUAACUCAGUUGUAUCAUCUCACCUAAAGACGAUGAAGGUGGUGAGGGUUGGUAUGUAAUUCUACUCUUUUUUAAGAAGAGGAUAACUGCUUGUAGUCUGCACUACAUAAUAUAUAAGUUAGAGGGAUUAGUUCUUAUGAGAGCAUUUAAUAAGAAAAGCAGUGGAGGAGUUCCCGUUGUGGUGCAGUGGUUAACGAAUCCGACUAGGAACCAUGAGGUUGCGGGUUCAGUCCCUGCCCUUGCUCAGUGGGUUAACGAUCCGGCGUUGCCGUGAGCUGUGGUGUAGGUUGCAGACGCAGCUCGGAUCCCGCAUUGCUGUGGCUCUGGCGUAGGCCGGUGGCUACAGCUCCGAUUCAACCCCUAGCCUGGGAACCUCCAUAUGCCACGGGAGCGGCCCAAGAAAUAGCAACAACAACAACAACAACAACAACAAAAAGACAAAAG